rnacentral:rRNA from 1 species
CACGUAGGGGGCGAGCGUUGUCCGGAUUUAUUGGGCGUAAGGAGCUCGUAGGCGGUUUCGUAAGUCGGAUGUGAAAACUCCAGGCUCAACUUGGAGACGCCAUUCGAUACUGCGAUGACUUGAGUCCGGUAGGGGAGUGUGGAAUUCCUGGUGUAGCGGUGAAAUGCGCAGAUAUCAGGAGGAACACCGGCGGCGAAGGCGGCACUCUGGGCCGGUACUGACGCUGAGGAGCGAAAGCGCGGGUAGCAAACAGGAUUAGAUACCCGAGUAGU